CCUACGGGCGGCUGCAGUGGGGAAUAUUGGACAAUGGGCGAAAGCCUGAUCCAGCCAUGCCGCGUGUGUGAAGAAGGCCUUCGGGUUGUAAAGCACUUUCAGUGGGGAAGAAAGCCUUGGGGCUAAUACCCUCGAGGAAGGACAUCACCCACAGAAGAAGCACCGGCUAACUCCGUGCCAGCAGCCGCGGUAAUACGGAGGGUGCGAGCGUUAAUCGGAAUUACUGGGCGUAAAGCGCGCGUAGGCGGUCUGAUAAGCCGGUUGUGAAAUCCCCGGGCUCAACCUGGGAACGGCAUCCGGAACUGUCAGGCUAGAGUGCAGGAGAGGAAGGUAGAAUUCCCGGUGUAGAGGUGAAAUGCGUAGAGAUCGGGAGGAAUACCAGUGGCGAAGGCGGCCUUCUGGACUGACACUGACGCUGAGGUGCGAAAGCGUGGGUAGCAAACAGGAUUAGAUACCCGGUAGUC
rnacentral:rRNA from 1 species